AGUAUGCUGGUUGGGCCGCAUAGGGUAGAGCUUGGUGCAGUUGGCUGCAUGUAAGAGAAAAUAAUGAAGGCUGCGUCUAGUCUUGCUAGAACUUGCUAGAACCUUGCCUCACGAAUAGGGCACGAGAGACUGAGAACCACUGGUCUGGACGAAAGGGACGACCACAGAGACAGGACUCUUCCGUGCUUGAAGCCGGAGACAGAUAAUUGGAUGGCACACGCGCACACAGGGGGACAUUUGGACACAGACACCUGCCCCACGAGGAGAGCACCAUGUGAUGAUGAAGGCAGAGAUCAAGGCGAUGCAUCUACAAGCCAAGGAAUGCCAGAGGUGGCUAGCAAACCAGCGGCGGUAUGAGAGAGGCCUGCAACGGAUUGUCCCUUGCAGACCCUCCCUCAGGAGGAAGUAGCCCUGUGGGCGCCCUUAUCCUGGAGGUCCGGCCUCCAGAACUGGAAGACAAUACAUUUCUGCUGUCUAAGCCA